GAAUUAAUUGAGCUAGGUAUAAAACUAAACCUAGGUUUAGCCGAUUUAUUCCUUUCUCCCAUCUCUGCCCGAUCUUCCUUCUUUCCCAAGACCUCUCAUGAUUUCCCCACCAGAUCGUCGAUCGCCGGUAUCAUCGUUUGUGCCGGCCAUCAUCGGAAAGCCCUCCGCAGCCAUCGCCAUCAUCUUCUUGCUGUGACACCCACAACUCCGUGUGUUGCCACCACACUAGCCGCUUGUCUCGAGUUGCCGAUUCCCUCUUCUGAUCUAUCUCUUUCUCGAUCUCACGGCGCUGCCCGAUCGUCGUCAUCCUCGUCGUGCAACCCCUAUCGGUCGACGCCACCGACAUCGCUUACCUUUACAACCGAUCGUUGUUGAUCCGCCUUGUGGCCUAGUUGCCACCAUUAGAGAGCUUCCGUUCCAAUUUGAGGCCAUCAUCCAUUUCAUCGCUAGCAGCUCCUACCCAUCUCGUUCAUCCACGAUGGCCAUCGGAAUCACAUUGGGAGCAGAUCGCUAUCCUCUGAUGCUCACUGCUAUUGUCGCUGGGUGUACUCGCUUGGGAUUCAUUAUGGGGGAGGGAGCGAUUGAAGAGGGUAAGCUUGAUUCCAAUUUCCCGAGUUUGUGUAAACCUAAUUGCUUCCAUUAGUGGAAUCAGAUUUGGAAUUAAUCUUUGGAUGAGGUUGAAUGAUGGUUAAGUUUGGGUAUCAACAGAUUUAAUCCCUGUUGGAAUAUUAGCCGCGGAUCCUUAUUCACACCUCAGUGACUUUGAUUUGAGACAUGGGUCUCGACGUAGGAUUUGUUUUGGUACGAACUACUGAUUAAGUUUAUUUCACCAGGUAGCAGGUAAAGGAUUUAUGGAGUCACUUGGAGAUCCUGUCUGCCAGUCCAAUGUCACAUCGAGUGACAUCUUUUGUAUGGAGAUAAAGGAAAGGAAAAUCUAUAGCAAAGGAAGGCGACAAGGAGGUGCAGAUGGAUGUGUGAUGUUUGGACUAUAGAAGCCUUGGGAUUUAGCAAAAGAAUUUAUUAAGAUUGUUUUGUAUUUAGACUAUUGAAACUGUUUAUUCAUGUGGAUGAUUUUUUUAUUCAUAGAAUGACUUUAUGUAUUUAGAAUUUUCUCAUUAGAAUUGCUAUGCAUAUUAGUCUCACUAUUGAGUUGUGUUAUGUUGCAUGCAUAUUUAGAUUAAUACAUAUAUUUCAGCAUGUUCAGAAUGAUAUAU